GAGGGMAAGYCUGGUGCCAGCAGCCGCGGUAAUUCCAGCUCCAGUAGCGUAUAUUAAAGUUGUUGCAGUUAAAAAGCUCGUAGUUGGAUUUGUGGUGUCUUGUUUUUUUAUUUGCUUUUUUUGGUUUUUUGUUUUUCUCUUAUGAGAUGAAUUGAAAACCUGGAAGCGAGGACACCAUCCUUGACAGGUUUGAAAGUGAUAUUAUAUCACCGCAAACAUUGUCAUCCUUUACUUUGAAAAAAUUGGAGUGAUUCAAGCAGGCAAGAAUUAUAAUUUUAAUUUAACUUUGCUUCUGCACAUGUUAGCAUGGAAUAAUGCAAGAGGACUUGGGUUUUCUCUUUCAUUGGUUUCAGGAAUCCGAGUAAUGAUUGAUAGGGACAGUUGGGGGUGCUCGUACUCGACGGCCAGAGGUGAAAUUCUUGGAUUCGUUGAAGACGAACAACUGCGAAAGCAUUCACCAAGGAUGUCUUCUUUAAUCAAGAACGAAAGUUGGGGGAUCGAAGAUGAUCAGAUACCGUCGUAGUCCCAACCAUAAACGAUGCCGACCAGGGAUCAGCGAGCGUUGACUUGGCGUUCUCGUUAUUUUCUUUUUUGAGAAUUCGUAGAUUUUGCCAACCUCAUUAAUUUGAAACGACCUCGUUGGCACCUUGCGAGAAAUCACCAGUCUUUGGGCUCCGGGGGGAGUAUGGUCGCAAGGCUGAAACUUAAAGGAAUUGACGGAAGGGCACAACCAGCAGUGGAGCCUGCGGCUUAAAUUGACUCAACACGGGGAAACUUACCAGGUCCAGACAUCAUAAGGAUUGACAGAUUGAAGHUCUUUCUUGAUUYKRUGG
rnacentral:rRNA from 1 species